rnacentral:lncRNA from 1 species
AUAAAGACCCAGCCAGCAUCAGACUCCCAGCUGGUCACUCAGGCGGUGGACUACUUCAAGCUCCGACAGCAAGUGGUGGGAUGCCUAGGCCCCACGGGGCCUCCCAGGGCCCCACUCUCCCUGCCCCUCUGCCUGCAGGCCCCUGUCCAGAGGCUCCAGGAGUACUGUGAGCUCCUGGAGGAGCUGAGCGCCCUGGGGGCCCCCCACACCCCCCCUGCAGGGCCCGCUGCCCUCGCCGUGCUCCGGCACGCUCUGAGGCACGGCUGGGACCUCCGCGCCAGCACCCUCAUCACUGGCUGCCCGGUAAGAUCGCCCAGAGCCACGUGGUCUCCAUCGUGGUCUCCAUCGUGGUCUCCAUCGUGGCCUUCAUCGUGGCCUUCAUCGAGGCGCAAUGGAAAACCAGCACAGGCCGCACAGUGAGGACAGGCUCCCUCCUUUGAAAAAAUGCUCCUUCUUGCAGUCGGGGCGGGAUUAGCUUCUUUGUUGUUGUAGUUGCCAGCAGCUCACAGCUGGCAGCCCCACUGGAGCUCAGCAGGCCUGAGUCUGGUCAGUACCUGGAUGGGAGACUCCUGGGAAAGCUGAGGCUGCUGCUGGAAGAGGUGUUAGUGGGGCCAGUAGGGGGGGGCUGAGCACCUUCCACACGCAGUACCUCCACUGUGGUUUGUGGGUCCUAAUGCCCCAGUACAGUGACGGAGACACUAUACUGUAAAAAAGGCCACCUUCCUGCGUAUGAGACAUAAAACCCAGGUCCUGACUCUCU